UGAGGAAUAUUGGUCAAUGGACGUAAGUCUGAACCAGCCAAGUAGCGUGCAGGAUGACGGCCCUAUGGGUUGUAAACUGCUUUUAUGCGGGGAUAAAGUGAGGGACGCGUCCCUUUUUGCAGGUACCGCAUGAAUAAGCACCGGCUAAUUACGUGCCAGCAGCCGCGGUAACACGUAAGGUGCGAGCGUUGUUCGGAAUCAUUGGGCGUAAAGGGCAUGUAGGCGGUCUGUCAAGCCAGGCGUGAAAGCCAGGGGCUCAACCCCUGAACUGCGCUUGGAACUGGCGGACUGGAGUCGCUGA
rnacentral:rRNA from 1 species